UGUUUUUGUUUGUUCCUUUAUUUGCCGGGACCUAUCUAUGUACCUUAAUAAUUGGAGGAGAGAAAUAAAAUAAAAAGGCCCUGGAAGACAAGUGUAAUGCAUUGAGGUCUGUGAAAGCAACCAAAGAAGCAAAAGUCAAACAGCUGAAGGACAAAGCAGGCAUCCUUGAAGAAUUCUAUGAAGAAAGAAAAGUGGCUAUAGAAGAGUAAAAUGUUCAUGUGAGAACUAUCACAAGUACUGUUGUAUGAAUGAAUGUGACGGCCAGUAGAGAUAAUUAAAAUUCUUUUCGAAUUUUUUGCCAAAUGCAUUCAGAAUUGUGCCUGUCCUUCUUACCUUGCUUUCUGUCACCCACAUUUUCCUUUCUGUCCUAAGUGCUUGUCACACAUUGUGUCAUGUAUCUGGGGUGGAAGAGGGAAGGUAUCAGCAAUAAUAACAUUGAUGUCUGGAUCUGCUUGGGAUCCAUUUACAUUGGCGCAUGGGUUUCAGUCCCAUCACGUUGUCUUUUCAUCCACGAAUUAGGUCAUUUUUGUUCAGGACCACACGUGGGUCAAGAAUGCGUAGGGAAAAUAUCAAUGAUCUUGCUGCAGAAACCACAGAAAUUUAUUUCUGGGAAGUGGGUAGGGGUCCCAGUAGUACUGGAUCCCUGCAUCAGUUCUGCUAGUGAGAUUGUUCACAGCAGGCCAAUCCCUAAGGAAGCUGAGUUAUUUCCUGUCCCCCGAUUUUUUAAGUGCAACUCCUCUGAGUCUUGACCAAAGCCCGCAGCUUCACUAGGGCUCAUCUUUGCUGGCCACCUCUGAACUAAACACGUUUCCUUCUAAGUCUGUGCCCAUAAAGUUGUUCAGCUAUUUUGCAGUUCAGUUUUCUGUCCCCAAGUUCAUUGAUGAGUCCUGGGGAGAUUGGUGCCCACUGCCAGGCUGGCUUUGUCCUGGGCUUCCUUCUUCUCCAUCUUGGUCACAUGUGUCUUCUUGGGGUCAUUAGAAAUGUGGUGCAUUUGCUAACAUGUUUCCUCCUUUGUACAGUAUUUCCUUUUGUUCUCACGAGGAGAUCAGGGCCUUUAGAGUCCCUCAUUCACAUUGAAAAGGAAAUACUUCCUUCUCUUCCCUGGAGACUCAGCUUCUGUUAGUCCUUCCCACACCUGGGGUGGAGCCUGCUCUGUCUCACUGGCAUCUUGUUUUUAUCAUUUCUAAGCUCUUUUGGGGAGCACGUACAGCACCCUGGCCACCUUUCUAUUUUCAAUCCCUUACAACAGAACCACUACAUUCCAGCCACUCCAGAAAGCAUUUGUUGAAGGACUGCCUGAGAUGCCGGAAGGCAAUGCAUGUGCCUUUCUCGGUCUAGAGGUUUUGUGUCAGUUUCUAGGAGUCUUUCAGUUUUGCAUGUGACUCUUGAAUACACCCAGUGCCAAGUUGAAACCCUUUAAAGCAACACCAUGAACAAAAUAGUCUGAGGGCAACACAGCAAACCAGCCUUUCUAAGCAUUUCCCAUUGCUGCCUUCACUGUCAAUGAACUGAGUCUUGUUCAAGUAGACUGGCUCCAUGAAGUUGAUAGUUUUCCAUCUGAAAUCUGUUUCCUGGAGAUAAACCCAGACUGUGUGACAGUUCAUAUCAGGUUCUACCUCAGGUGAUGUUGCUGCUCUAAGAUUGGCCUUUUCCUCCACCAGGAUAUGUGAAGGUGGACGCAGGGGUUGUACUCCUGACGCUAGCGAUGUCUGGGAGUGAGCUGCAAUGGUGGGGAAGCCAUAUCCUGGAAGGUCGUCUUUCAGGGUGAUUGUCUGUGAGGGGUACAACUUCUGGACUGAGAAUCAGGGCUCCCCACGGAGGUGUGAGACUAGUGAUGAUCCCUUGCUUCAUCCUAAUGGGUAUGGGUGGUCAUACAAGGUUUUUGACACUGAACUGAAAUGCGCCUUCACCAUCUCAAACCAAAGUCCAGCUCUGGGAAGGCACAAAGUGCAAUGUUAUUUGAUGACUUUAUGAUGAAGGAGAGGAAACAGGUCUGAGAGCAGAGACAUGGCAGCAGACAGAGGUUGAAUUUCCUUUAACUUAAAUGGGGUGUUCAGUUCAUAUCUCUGACUGUGUUGUCAGUCUGUGCAUUUAUGGGCAAGGUGGGAGAAGGGAUAUUUGCAUCUAGGCCUUCAAGAGUGCUGGGAGGUAAAAAGGCAGAAUUUGUGGACCUUGGCUCCUGGACUGUGUAUAUGUCUUUCCCAUCUUAGGAAGCUGAAAAUGACACAGUAUGAACUGGCGGCAAAGAAGAAUCAGCUGGCAGCUGCAGGGAAAAUGUGAAAAUAGCUAUGAAAGAAAUAAACAAGUACAAAUCGCAGUUCAUGAGAAUAAUGCUCAGGACAACUGGAUCAAGCCUCGGAUCUGGGAGAGGGAAAUGGCAGAGCAGAGCCGGGAGGUCGCCCGCUUGAAACACAGACUGGAUGGGAUGGAAGGAAAGUGGCUGCUUGAGGGAUACAGGAGGCGGAGACCAAUGCCUGGAAGUCCAGAGACGCAGAACCCUUGAGGAGAGGUAAGGGGCACGUGGUGAUGUGCAGCAGCCUAAUUUCUGCGGCAAAGCCUUUUUCUGUGGGUGAUCAUCGUGUGUCCUGGACAGAACCACAAUUACUACCUAAGGACAGCAGGUGGUCUGAAGGGGUGACAGGAGGGCGUUCUCCUCUGGUGCCCCAGGCAGCGGAGCACCUGUCCCUGUGACUGGUGGAGCUCAGGCCCCUCCCCUGACUGUGGACCCUCCCACCUCCUCCAGCAUCCCCUAGCUAAAGAGAGGAUCCUGGAGGGGAUGACGGGACAUGGGCCUUAGCUUUCUUCCCACCUUGACACAAUGUGAAGACUUUAUUUUAAUUUUAUUUCAGGAGUUCAUUUCAUUACUAUUUUUAAUGUUGUCAUUUUUAUUUUAUUUUUUCUUGAACCAUAGCCCUACGUUCAUAAUUCAGGCUCCAUAUAGCUUCGUCCUCUGAUGUUAUCAGGGCAAGUCUGUGGCUUCACUGCUAAAUACCCAUCGUUUUCCUUUGCUCGUUUGUAUAUUAGUGUAAGUACAUUUCUAUUCAGGUAUAGUUAUAUAAUAACUUUCCAUGUAGAAGGCAGCUUAUAGAUAAGCAAAAAGACUGAACAAUCCACCUGGAGCCUGAAGAAACAUACCCAGGUUAAGCAUUCCCUGAUGAUAUACCCCAAUCAGUAUUCUCCAUUUACCCUUUUUUUAAGCUCAUUUAUAUUGAGAGACAGAGACAGAGACAGAGAGAGAGAGAGAGAGAGAGAG